rnacentral:rRNA from 1 species
UACGUAGGGUGCAAGCGUUGUCCGGAAUUAUUGGGCGUAAAGAGCUUGUAGGCGGUUUGUCGCGUCUGCUGUGAAAUUUCGGGGCUCAACCCCGAACUUGCAGUGGGUACGGGCAGACUAGAGUGUGGUAGGGGAGACUGGAAUUCCUGGUGUAGCGGUGAAAUGCGCAGAUAUCAGGAGGAACACCGAUGGCGAAGGCAGCUCGCUGGGACGGUACUGACGCUGAGACGCGAAAGCGUGGGGAGCGAACAGG